GUGGGGAAUUUUGGACAAUGGGCGCAAGCCUGAACCAGCCAUGCCGCGUGCAGGAAGACGGCCCUCCGGGUUGUAAACUGCUUUUGUACGGGAAUAAACCUCUCUACGUGUAGGGAGCUGAAUGUACCGUAAGAAUAAGGAUCGGCUAACUCCGUGCCAGCAGCCGCGGUAAUACGGAGGAUCCAAGCGUUAUCCGGAUUUAUUGGGUUUAAAGGGUGCGUAGGCGGCCUGUUAAGUCAGGGGUGAAAGACGGUGGCUCAACCAUCGCAGUGCCCUUGAUACUGAUGGGCUUGAAUAGACUAGAGGUAGGCGGAAUGUGACAAGUAGCGGUGAAAUGCAUAGAUAUGUCACAGAACACCGAUUGCGAAGGCAGCUUACUAUGGUCUGAUUGACGCUGAGGCACGAAAGCGUGGGGAUCGAACAGGAUUAGAAACCCUGGUAGUCC
rnacentral:rRNA from 1 species